UCCCACUUGCCAGACACAGAGAUUGGUGUGGGAAGUCACCCAGAACCAAAGAAAACAAACAAAAUAUCAAGCAUUUUUGUAAAUAAAAGCCAAGGGGAGGCUAUCUUUAUUUCUGGUCACAGAGCUGUGUGAACAUGGCGCCGGAGCUGGGGCAGACACGGCUGCCACCCAGAAGGAGGAAGAAAGGCGACAGCCAGCCAGCGAUGGAACAGGAAAGAGCAGGCUCCGCAGCAUCGCACUCCCAGGUUUGCCUGCCCCUCGUUCCAGGGAAAGAAACCAAGGCCUUUGCCCUGAGCUACAUCCCCAGUCCUUUCUUUUUUUUUUUUUUUUAUUUUGAGACACAAUCUUGCUAAUCACUAUGUUGCCCAAGCUGGCCUCAAACAUGAUUCUCCUGCCUCAGCUUCCUGGUGUGCUGGGACCACAGGCAUAUGCCACCACACCACGCCUGUGCAGAUUUCGAAUUUCUUUCCUGCAAACCAGAGUCCUGAGAACAGAACACUCCAACAGCUUCCCUCUUCACCAUACCCUUUUCUAAAAAAAUUGAAGCCUUACAUGUCUAAGAAUGGAACCUGCCCCAUCUUUCCCUGAUGAGCAUCAAGUUGUUCUCUUGUCAUCUUGGUUAUGUUGGGAGCUACAUUUUCCAGUUCCCCUUGCCUGUGUGGCUCCUUGGAGACUCAGUGUGGUGGGGCGUGGUGUGCUGGCAGUGAAGUGCUUGUCCUCACCUUCCCUGCCCUGUGACCACCGGCCCUGCUGACCAGCACUGACCCCUCCUGCGUCCCCAGAUGCCACCAAGAGCCUACAUCCUUUCGAGGACGGCCUUGGGCCUGCCUUGCUUUGUGGGAGUCCCGGGCCAGGCCAGGCACGGCUACUACAGACAGCUAAGUCAGGCAGCAAUGAACGGCCGCUCAACAAGGGACCGGCCCUGGCAGGCGUCAGCACAGAAGGCAAGACAUCAGAAUCGCGGCUGGAGACAAACUGGAAGCGCGCCAGGCCUGCAGCCUCCCUAGAGAUAGCAGCUUGAGGUCCCGGUGUCAUCGGCACUGCCAGGCCAGGGGGCCUAGAUAAGGUGGCAGCUCAAGGUGGGCGACCCAGACUCCCCCCGCCUUCCCGAAAGGCCUUCCAUCUUUCUACAUCAAAAGUUGUAGAGAAGAUAAAGUUAGUGAUGCCCUCCGUAUCCCUGUCGGAUCAGUGUGGCCUCAGCGUGGCCCGGAGCGGCCUGAGACGUGGUCACGUUCAUGUGUGAAACCCCCGGACAAGGAGCCGCGGCACAUCCCACGUUGGGGAGCCCUCUUGUGUCUCCGGAGCUUUCUCUCCGUAGGCUUCUCCCACUCCUAACCUCCUUGUCCAUUCUUGGUUAUUGAGAGUCGAGAACUCAGCACGUGUGCUAGCUAACGGGCUGUGGUCCCCAAGUCCUCUCCUCCGGUCUCUAUUCCCCAGCCCUCCCUGCUCAUGUGAGAUCCCUCCCAACCAAGUCGUCAUUCCAGGGCCCGAGUCGGGGCCCACGCUUGGGUCAGGCCUGCCCCAUGCCGCCGGCUUGGUGACCCCUGCUGAGGCUGCUCUGCAUCCUCCCUGUUUCCUGAUCCACGCUCUCCUUCUUUCUCUGUCCUCCCCUCUCCCUAGUCACUGAGUCUGUCCUUCGGCCCUUGAGUCUGUUGUGGGGGAUGGGUUGAGCACUCGCCGUGUGCGUCCCAAGCGCCCCUUCUCUCUGGCCUCUGCCUGUGCACACUGCCUCCUGCUCCCUGUUCCCCUUUCCAGGCCUGCGUCCGGCAGGUGGCCUGAAGGUGUCACACAGCCUGGCCCCAGGAGAGACCAGUGCCGAGCUUCCCACUCGUGAUCUCCUAACAGGAAGUGUUGCUGUGGGAGGAAACGUGCUCUGGAUGAGAACUCAUGGGCCACUGCACGUUGCCCAGAAUAGAUGCGAAAUAAAUAUUUUAUGAACUGAA